rnacentral:rRNA from 1 species
GACGGAGGGGGCUAGCGUUGUUCGGAAUUACUGGGCGUAAAGAGUGCGUAGGCGGUUUGGUAAGUUGGAAGUGAAAGCCCGAGGCUUAACCUCGGAACUGCUUUCAAAACUACUAAUCUAGAGUGUAGUAGGGGAUGAUGGAAUUCCUAGUGUAGAGGUGAAAUUCUUAGAUAUUAGGAGGAACACCGGUGGCGAAGGCGGUCAUCUAGGCUACAACUGACGCUGAGGCACGAAAGCGUGGGGAGCAAACAGG